GNGGCCUAANANAUGCAAGUCGAGCGGUAGCACAGAGAGCUUGCUCUCGGGUGACGAGCGGCGGACGGGUGAGUAAUGUCUGGGAAACUGCCUGAUGGAGGGGGAUAACUACUGGAAACGGUAGCUAAUACCGCAUAACGUCGCAAGACCAAAGUGGGGGACCUUCGGGCCUCAUGCCAUCAGAUGUGCCCAGAUGGGAUUAGCUAGUAGGUGGGGUAACGGCUCACCUAGGCGACGAUCCCUAGCUGGUCUGAGAGGAUGNACCAGCCACACUGGAACUGAGACACGGUCCAGACUCCUACGGGAGGCAGCAGUGGGGAAUAUUGCACAAUGGGCGCAAGCCUGAUGCAGCCAUGCCGCGUGUGUGAAGAAGGCCUUCGGGUUGUAAAGCACUUUCAGCGGGGAGGAAGGCGAUAAGGUUAAUAACCUUGUCGAUUGACGUUACCCGCAGAAGAAGCACCGGCUAACUCCGUGCCAGCAGCCGCGGUAAUACGGAGGGUGCAAGCGUUAAUCGGAAUUACUGGGCGUAAAGCGCACGCAGGCGGUCUGUCAAGUCGGAUGUGAAAUCCCCGGGCUCAACCUGGGAACUGCAUUCGAAACUGGCAGGCUAGAGUCUUGUAGAGGGGGGGUAGAAUUCCAGGUGUAGCGGUGAAAUGCGUAGAGAUCUGGAGGAAUACCGGUGGCGAAGGCGGCCCCCUGGACAAAGACUGACGCUCAGGUGCGAAAGCGUGGGGAGCAAACAGGAUUAGAUACCCUGGUAGUCCACGCCGUAAACGAUGUCGAUUUGGAGGUUGUGCCCUUGAGGCGUGGCUUCCGGAGCUAACGCGUUAAAUCGACCGCCUGGGGAGUACGGCCGCAAGGUUAAAACUCAAAUGAAUUGACGGGGGCCCGCACAAGCGGUGGAGCAUGUGGUUUAAUUCGAUGCAACGCGAAGAACCUUACCUGGUCUUGACAUCCACAGAACUUUCCAGAGAUGGAUUGGUGCCUUCGGGAACUGUGAGACAGGUGCUGCAUGGCUGUCGUCAGCUCGUGUUGUGAAAUGUUGGGUUAAGUCCCGCAACGAGCGCAACCCUUAUCCUUUGUUGCCAGCGGUCCGGCCGGGAACUCAAAGGAGACUGCCAGUGAUAAACUGGAGGAAGGUGGGGAUGACGUCAAGUCAUCAUGGCCCUUACGACCAGGGCUACACACGUGCUACAAUGGCAUAUACAAAGAGAAGCGACCUCGCGAGAGCAAGCGGACCUCAUAAAGUAUGUCGUAGUCCGGAUUGGAGUCUGCAACUCGACUCCAUGAAGUCGGAAUCGCUAGUAAUCGUAGAUCAGAAUGCUACGGUGAAUACGUUCCCGGGCCUUGUACACACCGCCCGUCACACCAUGGGAGUGGGUUGCAAAAGAAGUAGGUAGCUUAACCUUCGGGAGGGCGC
rnacentral:rRNA from 2 species